rnacentral:rRNA from 1 species
UACGUAGGGCGCAAGCGUUGUCCGGAAUUAUUGGGCGUAAAGAGCUCGUAGGCGGCUUGUCGCGUCGGAUGUGAAAGCCCGGGGCUUAACCCCGGGUCUGCAUUCGAUACGGGCAGGCUAGAGUGUGGUAGGGGAGAUCGGAAUUCCUGGUGUAGCGGUGAAAUGCGCAGAUAUCAGGAGGAACACCGGUGGCGAAGGCGGGUCUCUGGGCCGAUACUGACGCUGAGGAGCGAAAGCGUGGGGAGCGAACAGG